UACGAAGGGUGCAAACGUUGCUCGGAAUUAUUGGGCGUAAAGCGCACGUAGGCGGCAUCGCAAGUCCUAUGUGAAAGCCCACGGCUUAACCGUGGAAGUGCAUGGGAAACUGCAGUGCUUGAGUCCGGGAGAGGUGAGUGGAAUUCCCAGUGUAGCGGUGAAAUGCGUAGAUAUUGGGAGGAACACCAGUGGCGAAGGCGGCUCACUGGACCGGAACUGACGCUGAGGCGCGAAAGCGUGGGGAGCAAACAGG
rnacentral:rRNA from 1 species